GAGUUUGAUCUUGGCUCAGAUUGAACGCUGGCGGCAUGCCUUACACAUGCAAGUCGAGCGGCAGCGCGGGGGCAACCCUGGCGGCGAGCGGCGAACGGGUGAGUAAUGCAUCGGAACGUGUCCUCUUGUGGGGGAUAACCAGUCGAAAGACUGGCUAAUACCGCAUGAGAUCGAGAGAUGAAAGCAGGGGACCGCAAGGCCUUGCGCGAGAGGAGCGGCCGAUGCCGGAUUAGCUAGUUGGUGGGGUAAAGGCCUACCAAGGCGACGAUCCGUAGCUGGUCUGAGAGGACGACCAGCCACACUGGGACUGAGACACGGCCCAGACUCCUACGGGAGGCAGCAGUGGGGAAUUUUGGACAAUGGGGGCAACCCUGAUCCAGCCAUGCCGCGUGAGUGAAGAAGGCCUUC
rnacentral:rRNA from 1 species